GGGUUUUCCUGACAUCAGAUAACACCAUCAGAUUUUACAGUCUUAAUGAGCCACAGUCACCUGCCAAAGUGUUAUCUGUGUCUCAGGUGGACGAGGAAAGCAUUGUUCAUACAAGAGGAUGCUCCUAUGCAGCGUCUCUGGGGGAGACGGCUGUGACGUUUGACUUCGGACCACUGGCUGAUCCUCCUCAUCUGAGCGGU